CACGCGAGGCGGCGGCGUGCGGCUGCGACGCGAGGGGACGGCGCGGCCGGCGACGCGAGGAGGCGGCUCUCGCGUCGUGACCGGCGACACAAGGAGACGGUGCGGCUGCUCACUGACGUCAACGGCGAUGAUGACCUCCGCUGCCUUCUCGCCGGAUUCAGGAAAGAUAUAUACUACAUACUGAACUUUCAUAUCUUUUAGCGGACGAUAUCUAUUACUGGAGGAGUAUAAUUAAGGCCAGAUUCAUGUCAUCAAGCAGGUAAGUAUAUCCCUUUGUGCUAUAGCUAGCUAGCAUGCUUGGUUCAUGUUCAUCGAGCGAUUGGUCGUGCAGAGGAACUAUAAUUUUUUUUUUUGCUGGUGAUCAAGAUGAGCACGGACAAUACUAAAAGACUUCUGAGCCUCAUAUUGCACUGACUAGGACAUAUUAAAGUCCAUUAAUUAAUUUGAAUUGAAAUUAAGUGCAGGCAGACCUUUAGAUUUGUGCAGUACUUAAAUAUAAACUUCUGCAUUUUUUGCAGUCAGCUUUGUUACUUAGAUGUGUUUUCUUGCUUAUGUAGAUUAGAGUUCGUUUCCUUUCAUCUUAGUAUUGUUGUCAUUGGAAAUACUAGAAUGAAAUUCUCCUAUUCAAUUAAGCAAGAAACAAGACAAGUAAAAUUAUAGCCCACAAAUCGGAACGAUCGACUUGGCUAUAAGCCAAUUCAACUGUUCAAGUGGAACUGCAUGACUGGCAUUGUCCAGAAGUUUAUGCUUUGAAUUGAUUAUAGUUCUAGAUUGCAGUGGUGUUUUUGUUGCAUUGUAUAAUGGUCUUUGAAUUGAUUUAUAUCAUGCUAAUAUUGAAAGCUAGAAUAGACCGAAGACUUUUGCAGAUGCAAAACCCACAAAUUCUUGAAAUUUAUAACUCAGCUUUUCCUUGAAAAUUUCUUGUUUAUUAUAUUUUUCUUGGCUGAUAACCUCAUCUUUCAAAACAUUGUGCUAAUAUUUGUCAUGGAAUAUUUGCCAUGACAAUCUUGUGCUCGGUUUCUUUUUGCUGAUAAUUCAUCAUAGUGAUACCUCUUAAUUGUAAUUAUUCAACCAAAAUUUCAUUAAUUUGGGUACAGUAGCAGUAGCAGUAGUGUGCAUAUAUAAAUUCUGAUUGUGCAUAAAUAUGAUUGUGCAUUUCCUAAUUUCUAGUUACUUUGUGCUUUUAUUCAGAUUGUGCAUAAAGGUUAGUUCUCUCAAAGUUAAUAUCGUACAGUCUUCUUGUAGCUUCUACUCCCAAAAGUACAGUGCUUGGUGCAGUUCUUUUAUUCAUAAGCUUGGCAGAUAAUAAUAUUUAUGCAUAUUAUUAUCCCUCUUGUGGCACUUGAGAUCUCAGGGACUAAUCACUUUUCAGGCAUGCAAGGGCAUGGAAUUAUGGUAUCUCUACUACGACUUCAGUUAUAUAUUUUUCACUGCAUACCUUUCCAGCUACUUUUUAGUUAUAUAUAGCCUAGUAUAGUUUAUUUUGGGAGUGCACACAAUUAUAUGCAAAGAUGACAGUGUUAAGAAAAAUAUUUGGAUAGUUAGGAGUCAACAUUAUGAGCAAUGAAAUAAAGUACUUAAAACACAAUUAUCAUGCAGAUGCCUGCAAUAGCAGGCCAUAGGUGCUUUAAAGCUGAAUGUUGCUAACUCUGAAUCUCAUCAGUAUGAUAUUUUAUAAAGCUUGAUGCUGUCACACUUAUGCACUUUUGUCUCUUUAUCUGUAUGAUGAUCAUAAUGCUUGAUUAAUUGGGGGACUAACGCCAAGUUUUCUGUUCAUUCUAAAUUUUGGAAUAAAUGCUUAAGUUAUAACUGAGUCCCAAUCAAGUACUAAGUUACAUGCUCUUUAUUAUGUGUAGAUCAAUGAUUGGAUUCUGGACAUCAUUGGUUGUGCUCUACUCUUCAAAAGUCAAGAUCGCUUAGAUGUAGACUAUCAAGUCAUUGCUGCUCAUCCAGAAUGCAAUUUGAUCUUCUUAGUUUAUGGAUCGAGCAAUAUUUUGAUUUGUACUGCCCAUAUUUGCCAUAUGUUCCAUUAUUUUGAUGUCAUACCAAAUGGAUCGAGCAAUAUUUUGAUGUCAUACCAAAUGGAUCAGGAGUGGUUUUUCUUCA